GAUGAACGCUAGCGGCAGGCCUAAUACAUGCAAGUCGAACGGCAGCACGAGUACUUGUACUUGGUGGCGAGUGGCGCACGGGUGCGUAACGCGUAUGCAACCUACCCUUUACUGGGGGAUAGCCCGGAGAAAUUCGGAUUAAUACCCCAUGGUAUCUAAGAUUGGCAUCAUGAUUAGAUUAAAGAUUUAUUGGUAAAGGAUGGGCAUGCGUGACAUUAGUUAGUUGGUGAGGUAAUGGCUCACCAAGGCGAUGAUGUCUAGGGGUUCUGAGAGGAUGAUCCCCCACACUGGUACUGAGAUACGGACCAGACUCCUACGGGAGGCAGCAGUAGGGAAUAUUGGUCAAUGGGCGCAAGCCUGAACCAGCCAUGCCGCGUGCAGGAAGACGGCCUUCUGGGUUGUAAACUGCUUUUAUCAGGGAACAAAUAGCCCAUGCGUGGGAAGUUGAGUGUACCUGAAGAAUAAGCACCGGCUAACUCCG
rnacentral:rRNA from 1 species